rnacentral:rRNA from 1 species
UUGACCUCGGAUCAGGUAGGGAUACCCGCUGAACUUAAGCAUAUCAAUAAGCGGAGGAAAAGAAACCAACAGGGAUUGCCUUAGUAACGGCGAGUGAAGCGGCAAAAGCUCAAAUUUGAAAUCUAACGCCUCUGGUGUUCGAGUUGUACUUUGGAGAGGCAUCUUCCGGAGUGGCCCAGCCUAUGUGCCUUGGAACAGGACGUCAUAGAGGGUGAGAAUCCCGUUCUUGGCUGGAUGUCCACUCCUAGGUAAGAAC